ensembl:lncRNA
AGAACAAGGAAACAAACUGAAACAUAGGAAGUUCCAUCUGAAUGUGAGAAAUAACUUCUUUACUAUGAGGGUGACAGAGCACUGGAACAGGCUACUGAGAGAGGUUGUGGUGUCUCCUUCUCUGAUGAUACUGUAAACCCAUCAGGAUGCUUUCCUUUGCAACGUACUCCAGGGAACGUGCUUUAGCAAGGGGUGGAGUAAGUUGAUGUCCAGCGGUCCCUUCCAACCCCAGUGAUUCUGUGAUUCUAUUUAAUUGUGUGAAAUCUUACCACGUGUGGUUGCAGAAAGUGGCGUUAGCUUCUGUGUCUGCUGGUGUUGUGAUGUUGAUGCCUUUUCAUGGAGGAAAAUAAAUGAUUGUGCUCUUAAAUUGGUGUAGUUUUGCACUUGUUUUCUCUGCUGGAAAAAAUGAUUUGACUUACGCAGUCCUCUCUUGAUGUUCUUUCACCAUUGUUAUCAGCAUCAGCCACAGACUUAGAAAAUCUCUGGAACUCUGUCAUCCGAGAAAACGUCACAAAUAAUUCUGUACAGUUACUAUUAUCAAUUACAGUGCUCUUCUUGAUGUUGCCUGGGCUAUUCCCUCACAGAAUGAAAUCAGUGACUAUUGCUUUUAGAGGUGUCAUGACGUUGCUGUUAGAAAUAGCGUUGCUUACAGGCCUGUAACAUUUUCAUCUGAUAUGACAGAAGCACUGCAAAACAGGAAUGGCCAGCUGCACAGUUUCUGCUGCAUUCUGCAUGUAUACAAUAGUCUCUCUUUGUUUCUGUUAAUGGCGCUAUCAUUGAUAGGAAAGUUGUCCAAAAUACAGUCAGCCUCUGUGUGAGAAUUGCAAAUGUGGCACCUGUGAGAAGUGAACAUAGCAAUGACAGGGAGUAAGGUCUGUUUUUUGCUGAUGUGAUGGGUGGUCCUAAACAAUGGAAAAACUUGUGCAAGGGGAAGGACAUCAUUUGGAAGAGGAUGGGGCAUGUCAUAAGAAUGAGAGAGAUCUGCUUGUCUUGAGAACAAGUGCCUAAGAAUGUGGAAUUAACAAUGUCCAUUUCAAAGCCAGAGGUGGAAUGGGCCCAGAGCAUUCUGGGCCAGGAUCCUUGCCUGGGUUCCCAGAGAUGGGAUCUGGUGGUUUUCCUGCUCUUGAGGUUGUAUGUAGUACCAGUCUUUCUGAGCAUGCGAGGCUGUGUGUUAUUCAUGGUGCCACAUGAUUAAUUUGGUUUAUUUGCUUGGAGACUUUCUGUGUUUUCUUCCCUGGAGGAAUCACUGAAGCAUGUAGAGGAAGACCUGGUAUGCUCAGAGAAGUGAAAUAAUUGCAUAUUUAUAUAUGAGACAUGGGGAGGCCUUCAGACAAACAGUUGUUGACACUACAGCCAUUUCACAAGGUGUGAUGAGUUUUCUCAGGUGCAUGUGUAGUCAAAUUCUGUGUGCUCUCACUCCCUAUUGUCCUUGUGCCAUUCCUGGUUGGGAAGACAUCUGUCACGUUUGUGUUUAUUCACUCGUGUUCGAAUGUGGAAUGUUGUUGCUCUAACAGUGGCUUUUCACAAUAUUAGUAGUUCUGCCUGGCUGUAGUGGGCCUUCCCCUGAUCUUCCCUCUUCUCGUAUUGUUGCUUGGGAGGGGAAGAAGUGUGCUCUCUACUCCAGAUGUUGGCAAACCUUGUGUUUCAAUGAUGUGCAAUUGGAUCUUUUUGUUUCUUUCUCCCUGUCAGAUAAGUGUCCUACUUCAUUGUUUUACUUCUCUCACACUGGAAGUAUGUUGGUGAUGGUGAAUGGGAUGUAGUGGACUGAGUUCAGGUGGCUGUGACAUUGCAGACCUUUGAGCAAUUGGCCAUGAGUGUGCGAUAUAGCUUUUCCACACUUGUGAGCUCUGGUACUCAUAGAGAGAAAGUCAUUAGCUUUCAGGUUUCCCUCUUGCUUCCCUUCUGGUAUAUGUGUGCCAGGGAGCACUGCAUGCUAUCCAAUAUAAUGUUCUUUUUGUGAACAAGCAUCUGCUCCUGUUAUGGGUAAGUUGUUCUUAUUAAAGGAAUAUGUGAUCAAUAGACAGCUGUAUGUUUCAGUGUUUUGUUGUGAUUCCUUUCUGUUGGAGGGAGCGAACAUUGCCUGAGGGCUGGAGCCUUCUGCUGAUGAAGUGCAUUUGUAUGGGGAGAGCAGUUUCUGCCACAGGCAGAAACAGUUCCUUCCUGGGUUGUGUGUCAGCCUAGAGUUGGAAAUAGAGGUGAUUUUUUCAGGAGACAAUAUUUGGUGGGUAUAAUCAUCGUGUACUUGACUUCUCCCCCAUUUGUGCACAUGCCGAAUUGGCUUUGGUCUGAUGGUGUGCCAUCUUGUGUCAGGGCUCAUUCUAAAAUAUAGAUGUAUACACAAAAUCCUGAACAGCAGCCCAGGUCACUUUCUCUGAAGAAAAAAAGUUCUUUACAGCCACAGGUAUGUGUUUGUAUUUUUUUAUUUUUUAUUUUUUGGAGGACUCAUCAGUGUUGGAGGAAGUAAACUAAGGCAUUUGGCAAUAGAUGCUCCAACAACUUGGGUGCUUUUCACAGAAUUUUCUCAGCUUCUCUGUGUGAACCUGAUAGUUUCUCAGUAUAGAUAUAGAUAGUGUAUAAGACAAGUUGUUUGUGCAUUUGUGAUGAGUGUGCACUGCUACGAUUUGUGAGGAUUUGCUUUACACUCGAUAGAAGAAUAAAAUCCCACAUUGGCUUGAUUUGAGUUAGAACAGAACAACUCUCCCACGAUGUAGGUUAUCUUGGAUCAUACAAAUGUUUAUUAUGCAAUCUUAAUUUUGACCUCAGCCCAACUCUAAGUUACCCGAAAAUAAAACACUGCUCAUUUUGCUGCCUGUAGCGUGUGUAUUCUCAUCCCUCUGAGUAUGGCAUGAAUGAGGAGGUGAUCUGCUUAUACCAUGUAAAUGGGUGAUCUUAGCAAGUGGGUAAGCAGAAGAAAAAUACAUUUACCCUCUUUAAACACCUUUCAUUCUGGAUUCACGUGGAGUGAGUUUGGUGGGGUUUUUUUUAUAUAAAGUCUGUCCCAGAAUUUCUUUCUAUGCAGCGGUCAAGACAUUGGUCUCUAUCCAGGCCAUUACAUCCUUUUUCUACAUGAAGCUGCAAAAAAAAAAAAAAAAAAAAAAAAAGUCUUGCAGAACAUUACUCGUACCAAUCCUCUAUUUGCUCACAAUCUGCCUGCACCUGGAAAAGUGAACAAAAUGCUUUUACACAGGGCAGGACUCAUUACUGUCUCUAUCUGGGGUAAUACUAAUGUGAGCUCACAGGAGAUACAUAGAUGCAAAAAACGGAAAUGCAGAACAAAGCCAUUCCAUUAUAUUCUGAACGUGUUAGGAACGUGUUAAUGGAAGUCUCCAUCCCUGGAUGAUGCACUGUCUGACGGAGGUUGCUGCUUACCUUUUUCAUGAGCUUGUCUGCUUAGGAGCAUCACAGAAGGGAAGGACCACACUUCAUCUUCAGAGGCUGAACAUCCACUCUGCCCUGCAUGAAAGAAUCUGGGAUAGUAAACGUGCUUUGUCUAAAUGCUUCCUCGGAGCAAUGAGCCUGCCACUGGUCGGGGUAAAGAAAUACAGAUAAGGUACAAAGAUGCAGGAUUAAGGAGAGUUUGUCCUUGUGAUUUGAAUUUGCACAGUGUGAACUCAUCAGAAAUUAAACACAAAUAAACUGUGAGGAAAAGCCACUGGUCAUGUGUGUAAGAAGGGGAACUGUUUUCCACUUUUAUCCCUGUACUCAGUCCUUAUAAGACUUAGAUGACCAGCCAGUGAACCUCAGCUUCCCAGGCUAAAAAUCAAGGCUAAAAAUGAAAUUCAUAUUAGAUACCUUUUGCUCUAAGAAAUAUAUAGAAGGCCACAAGAAUGGAGCAUGUUUUCAGAAACAUUUCAGGUAAACCACAUGGCUUCUAACAGAGGAACACUGAUAACAUACAUCGUGGAAGAUGUACCACUAAGCAAAAUUCAAUGGACUUCCUACAUGCCCAUUUCACUUGGAAAGGAGGGAUGAAAGAUAACUCGAAGUCUCAUUGGAGCUAAAGCGAUGUGCACUUCUGCGGAACAGGUAGAGUACUGUAGAUAAAGAUUCG